rnacentral:rRNA from 1 species
AGUGAACGCUGGCGGUAGGCCUAACACAUGCAAGUCGAACGGCAGCACAGGAGAGCUUGCUCUCUAGGUGGCGAGUGGCGGACGGGUGAGGAAUACAUCGGAAUCUGCCCAGUCGUGGGGGAUAACGUAGGGAAACUUACGCUAAUACCGCAUACGACCUUCGGGUGAAAGAGGGGGAUCGCAAGACCUCUCGCGAUUGGAUGAGCCGAUGUCGGAUUAGCUAGUUAGCGGGGUAAUGGCCCACCAAGGCGACGAUCCGUAGCUGGUCUGAGAGGAUGAUCAGCCACACUGGAACUGAGAUACGGUCCAGACUCCUACGGGAGGCAGCAGUGGGGAAUAUUGGACAAUGGGCGCAAGCCUGAUCCAGCCAUACCGCGUGGGUGAAGAAGGCCUUCGGGUUGUAAAGCCCUUUUGUUGGGAAAGAAAUCUUUCAGGCUAAUACCCUGGGAGGAUGACGGUACCCAAAGAAUAAGCACCGGCUAACUUCGUG